rnacentral:tRNA from 1 species
ACCGAAAUAGCUCAGUUGGGAGAGUGUUAGUCUAUAGAUCUAAAAGUCCCUGGUUGGAUACGGGUUCCGGCA